rnacentral:rRNA from 1 species
UACGUAGGGGGCGCGCGUUGUCCGGAUUUAUUGGGCGUAAAGAGCGUGUAGGCGGCCUGGUAGGUCUGCUGUGAAAACUCGAGGCUUAACCUCGAGCUGUCGGCGGAAACCAUCUGGCUAGAGUCCGGAAGAGGAGAAUGGAAUUCCCGGUGUAGCGGUGAAAUGCGCAGAUAUCGGGAAGAACACCCGUGGCGAAGGCGGUUCUCUGGGACGGUACUGACGCUGAGACGCGAAAGCGUGGGGAGCGAACAGG